UAUAUCCCUCUCUCUUUUUUUGCAGUUGCAAUUUACUGACGUCAUGUCUCACAUGCAUGCCUAACAUUGGACCUGGAUGUGGAUGAGGAGGAAGCAAAUAGAAAAACACAUGAGGUUUUUUCAGCACUUCAUAUGCAUCACCUCCACACUUCCCAGAGCUACAAAUCUAAACUCAUGGUCUAUCUUGGCCCUGGUAUUUUGAUUCCAUUCUGACCACCAGGGAUCUGAAUGCUGCUCAGCUCCAUGCAAGUUUGCGCAGUCCUCCUUGAUAUAUCAAUCCCCCUUCAAAUCACAGUGUCCCUUUCACAGUCACGUUCUAAAGAUCAUGCACUUACCCUGAGGAGGAGCAAUGGUCCUGCCAGAAGCCGAUGCUGGAGGGUCUUGAAUGCAGCUUUCUGUUAAAGACGGAAGAAAG